rnacentral:rRNA from 1 species
AUUGAACGCUGGCGGCAGGCCUAACACAUGCAAGUCGAGCGGUCCCAGGAGGAUCCUUGCUUCUUUGCUGACUAAUGGCUGGCGGGUGGGUCAUGUCUGGGAAACUGCCUGAUGGAGGGGGAUAUCUACUGGAAACGGUCCCUAAUACCGAAUAACGUCGCAAGACCAAAGAGGGGGCCCUUCGGGCCGCUUGCCGUCGGGUGUGCCCCUAUGUGAUGAGCUAGUAGGUGGGGUAACGGCUCAACUAGGCGCCGAUCCUUAGCUGGUCUAAGAGGGUGACCAGACAGACGGGAAGUGAGACACGGUCGAGACUCUGACGGUAGGAAGCAGUGGGGAAUAUUGCACAAUGGGGGCAAGCCGGAUGUAGGAAUGCCGCGGGUAUGAAGAAGGACUUAGGGCUGUAAAGUACUGACAGCGGGGAGGAAGUGAGGAAAGUUAAGAUCUGAACUUAUUGACGUUACCAGCAGAAGAAGCACCGGCUAACUCCGUG